rnacentral:lncRNA from 1 species
ACUUGGGUUCAUCUUCAUGAGGUGUAAUGGCGCCGGGAUGCGCUCUCCUCUUCUCAUUUGCCAAUUUAUUGCAGAUCCCUCCUCAAAAAAGUUUUGGGACUAACUCAGCCCCAUGGAGAUCAAGGUGAAUUAGAAAAACAACAAAACAAAACAAGAUUCAUUUUAACAUCUCAUUUUUCUAUCUCCAACUUUCCCUCCCCUCCUCCCACCCCAGGAAGAAAAGACUACGUUUGUUUCUGGUGAUACAUUCAUUGUAGGUGGGUGGGUGACUUCUAGAAGAGGAAAAUCAAGAAGAUUUGGAGAAGGAGUCUUGGAAGCUCUGGUGAAGUUUUCCAAAACUGGGAAGGACAGAGUCUGCUCAGCCUGUGUUAGUGGAGAAGAGGGAAGGAAACUGGCUGGAGGCCGCUGGACCCACAGAGGACAAUAGACAAUCUCCUGCUGAUGCCCACUGGAUCCAAAGAGAGAAACUCUAUAGAAUUAUGAUCUAGGUUUGACUGACUCCUGGCAAGAAGCCCUACCCGCCAGCCAAUUUGGAUGAGCUCUUAUGCUCCAGAUCCAUCAUGAGAAGAACAUGCCCUGGAUUCCUGCUAUCCCUUUAGCCAUGGCUCCAAAAUUAACACACACAAGGAAGACCUGAGGUCAAUCCACAGCCUGGAUUCAAGUCACCUAAUACAUAGGAGAAUCAGAGCUACCCAGCCACACUCAAUCUACGUUAACUGAACCUCAGCUGACCUGCAGAUUUAUGAGUAUGAGAAUAAAGGCUUGUUAAUGUAUAUCAUUAA